GGAGAGAUGGCCGAGUGGUUGAAGGCGGCGGUCUCGAAAACCGCUGUGGGGGCAACUCCACCGGGGGUUCGAAUCCCUCUCUCUCCGCCA
rnacentral:tRNA from 2 species